UACGUAGGUGGCAAGCGUUAUCCAGAAUUACUGGGCGUAAAGGGCGCGUAGGCGGCUUUUCAAGUCGGGCGUGAAAUCUCCGGGCUUAACCCGGAAGGGUCGUUCGAUACUGUUGAGCUAGAGUGUGGAAGGAGGCAACUAGAAUUCCGUGUGUAGCGGUGAAAUGCGUAGAUAUACGGAGGAAUACCUGAGGCGAAGGCGGGUUGCUGGGCCAACACUGACGCUGAGGCGCGAAAGCCAGGGGAGCAAAACGGGG
rnacentral:rRNA from 1 species